rnacentral:rRNA from 1 species
GACGAACGCUGGCGGCGUGCUUAACACAUGCAAGUCGAACGGAAAGGCCUCUUUCGGGGGGUACUCGAGUGGCGAACGGGUGAGUAACACGUGAGUAACCUGCCCUUGACUUUGGAAUAACUUCAGGAAACUGGGGCUAAUACCGGAUAGGAGCUCCUGCUGCAUGGUGGGGGUUGGAAAGUUUCGGCGGUUGGGGAUGGACUCGCGGCUUAUCAGCUUGUUGGUGGGGUAGUGGCUUACCAAGGCUUUGACGGGUAGCCGGCCUGAGAGGGUGACCGGCCACAUUGGGACUGAGAUACGGCCCAGACUCCUACGGGAGGCAGCAGUGGGGAAUAUUGCACAAUGGGUGGAAGCCUGAUGCAGCAACGCCGUGUGCGGGAGGACGGCCUUCGGGUUGUAAACCGCUUUCGCUCAUGACGAAGCUUUGUGUGACGGUAGUGGGUAAAGAAGCACCGGCUAACUACGUG